AGCGUGUAACGCCCUCGAUGCGGCUAUAUCUCCCACGUGUCGAAGCACGACUUAGAGGCAUAACCGCAUUGAAAGCAAUGUCGCAAGUGAGGUAAUCUUCACACAACCCAUGUAAUACAUAAGGGAAAGAGAUACAUAGUUGGCUUACAACCGCCACUUCACACAAUUACAUGAAUAAAGCAUUACAACAUCCAAAUACAAUCAGGGCCCGACUACGGAGCCAAAAUAAAAGAAGAACGCCAAAUGUGACAAAGGUCCCCGAUCGACCCCAACUGGGCUCCACUACUGAUCAACUAGAACGAAACAACACAAAGGACAAGAUCUUCACCGAGCUCCUCCUGAGCUUGGUUGCGUCAUCUGCAAGGGCUCAUCAGCACCUGCAAGCUGGUUUUGGAAGUAUCUGUGAGUCACGGGGACUCAGCAAUCUCACACCCUCGCGAUCAAGACUAUUUAAGCUUAUGGGUAAGGUAAAAGGUAUGAGGUGGAGCUGCAGCAAGCGACUAGCAUAUAUGGUGGCUAACAUACGCAAAUGAGAGCGAGAAGAGAAGGCAAAGCACGUUCGAGAAAGUAUGAUCAAGAAGUGAUCCUAAAACAACCUACGUCAAGCAAAACUCCAACACCGUGUUCACUUCCCGGACUCCGCCGGAAAGAGACCAUCACGGUUACACACGCGGUUGAUGCAUUUUAAUUAAGGUCAACUUCAGGUUUUCUACAACCGGACAUUAACAAAUUCCCAUCUGCCCAUAACCGCGGGCACGGCUUUCGAAAGUUCAAAUCCCUGCAGGGGUGUCCCAACUUAGCCCAUCACAAGCUCUCACGGUCAACGAAGGAUAUUCCUUCUAGCGGGAAGACCCGAUCAGACUCGGAAUCCCGGUUACAAGACAUUUCGACAAGGUAAAACUAAACCAGCAACACCGCCCGAAUGUGCCGACAAAUCCCAAUAGGAGCUGCACAUAUCUCUUUCUCAACGCACACCGGAUUGUCUUAACUUCCGGUAGGCCAGCCCAGAGUUGCCCCUGGUGGCCACCGGCGGCUGACAGGUUGGACCAACACUCAGAGGAGCACUGGCCCGGGGGUUUAAAAUAAUGAUGACCCUUGGGCGCGCGACCCCCAAGGGAAAAGAAAAGGCUAGGUGGCGAAUGGUAAAACCAAUGUUGGGCAUUACUGGAGGAGUUUUAUUCAGGGCGAACAAUCAAGGGGUUCCCAUUAUUACCCAACCGCGUAAGGAACGAAAAAUCCGGGAACAUGACAACGAUAUGACGGAAACUAGGGAUGCAAGAGUGGAACAAAACACCAGGCAUAAGGCCGAGCCUUCCACCCUUUACCAAGUAUAUAGAUGCAUUAAUUAAAUAAGAUAUAUAGUGAUAUCCCAACAAGUAAACAUGUUCCAACAAGGAACAACAUCUCCAUGUUCCAACAGGGAACAAACUUCAAUCUUCACCUGCAACUAACAAGGCUAUAAGAGGGGCUGAGCAACGCGGUAACAUAGCCAAACAAUGGUUUGCUAGGACAAGGUGGGUUAGAGGCUUGGUUCAACAAUAUGGGAGGCAUGAUAAGCAAGUGGUAGGCAUCGUAGCAUAGGCAUAGCGAAAGAGCAAGCAAAGAUAGAAGUGAUUUCGAGGGUAUGAUCAUCUUGCCUGAAAUCCCGCAAGGAAGAAGAACGAGUCCAUGAAGAAGACAAACGGACGUAGACGAACGAUUCCUCACAAACGCGACGUUAUCGGAACCAACCCGAAGAAGCACACCGAAAAGAAGCACACAACAUAGUAAACAACCACCACAUAGACAUGGCAUGAUGCACAAAGAAGUAUGAUGCAUGUCCGGUUUAAAGAGGGCAUGGCAAAGUGCAACAACCAAAACUACAAAUUAAGUGGAGCUCAAUAUGCAACGGGUUGCAUAUUGACGGAACACCACAUCCAUUAUUUAGUUCUCUCUCGGUUAUGUACCCAACAAGAUUAAAUGUUGCUAGCAUGUCAAGAGGAUGAAGCAAAUGAAAACUACCUAUCUAGGCAAGUUUAAAUGAGGCCGGAAGCAACGAACAACAAUUCCGAUAAAUCCCCAUAUGCAUAUAUUAGGUUUGGUGCUGUUCUACCCUAAACAUAAUUUUAGAGUUGUUAAGCAUGCAAAGUGAAGCCACCAUGUUAAACUAGGCAUUUUUCUACCCCAUUUACAUAUAAAGAUUAUUUAAAACCGAGCUACGGUUAUUUAGUUAUGAAAUAAAGCAUUUUAGCAUGACAUAGGAGCAAAUUUAAACAAACAUCAUUUUAAGCAUUUUAAACAUGGGUGAAAAUGACAUAUUAUGAAACUAGAUGAAAAUCUAAGCAAGUUUCAUAUUAAGUUUGUUUUAAUCCGAUGCACGGUUGUGAAGUUAUUAAAUGCAUGAAGUAUAGGGUCCAAACUGUAAAACUGCAAUUCCCUGGAAAUUAGCUAAAUUCACA
rnacentral:lncRNA from 1 species